rnacentral:tRNA from 3 species
GCGCCGGUAGCUCAAUUGGAUAGAGCGUCUGGCUACGGACCAGGAGGUUACGGGUUCAAGUCCUGUCCGGCGCGCCA